UUCAGUAUUUUCUGUUUCAGAUUACGUAUCUUGGCGACACACGGGAAAGGGAACAUGGUUUGUUCAAUCCAUUGUCGAUACAUUUUAUCGUGAAGCACACAAAUAUGACGUUUUACAAAUGUUGGUGAAUGUCAAUCACGCGAUCUCUCAAAAGCAAACAA